AGAACGAACGCUGGCGGCAGGCUUAACACAUGCAAGUCGAACGCUCGUAGCAAUACGGGAGUGGCAGACGGGUGAGUAACGCGUGGGAACAUACCCUCCGGUUCGGAAUAGCUCAGGGAAACUUGGAUUAAUACCGGAUACGGCUGAGAGGCGAAAGAUUUAUCGCCGGAGGAUUGGCCCGCGUUCGAUUAGCUUGUUGGUGAGGUAACGGCUCACCAAGGCGAUGAUCGAUAGCUGGUCUGAGAGGAUGAUCAGCCACAUUGGGACUGAGACACGGCCCAAACUCCUACGGGAGGCAGCAGUGGGAAUAUGGACAAUGGGCGCAAGCCUGAUCCAGCCAUGCCGCGUGAGUGAUGACGGCCUUAGGGUUGUAAAGCUCUUUCGCUCGGGACGAUAAUGACGGUACCGAGAUAAGAGCCCCGGCUAACUUCGCGCCAGCAGCCGC
rnacentral:rRNA from 1 species